AACAGCUCACUAGUCGAGCGGACGAGCAUGGAUAAUAAUCGGGCAUAAGUAUACUACCGAAGCUAUGGAUUUACAGACAAGGGUUUGUAAGUGGUAGGGGAGCAUUCUAAUAGGGUUGAAGGUGAUAUGUGAGUAUUGCUGGACUAAUUAGAAAAGAAAAUGUAGGCAUAAGUAACGAUAAUGCGGGCGAGAAACCCGCACACCGAAAAACUAAGGUUUCCAC
rnacentral:rRNA from 1 species